AUUGUUGUUGUAGAUGUCGAGUACCUCGAGGUUCUUGAGCUGGGCUAGCUGCGAGGGGAAAGUAUCAUUAAACCCAUUGUUGGAGAGAUUGAGGUAGCGGAGGUCGGUGGCGGCGGAGAGCUGCGGCGGGAUGGGGCCAGAGAAUUUGUUGACGUCGAGGGAGAGGUUCUGGAGGUAGCGGAGGUGGGAGAUAUCCGGGGAGAGGGUUCCCGUGAGGGAGAGGCUAGAGAGGUCUAAUGAGGUCACGUGACGGCUGGAGAAGUCGCACGUGACUCCCGGCCAGGAGCAGAGGUCGGCGGAGGAGUUCCAGGCGGAAAGGAAGGAGUUUGGGUCGUCGGUGACGGCGGAUUUUAGGGAGAGUAGAGCUUGGGUUUCGGAUAAUACGCGGCCGGUGGAAGUUGGGAUGUGGAGGUGGAUGAGGAGGAAGAAGAAGAGGAGAGGGUAAAGGAGUCUCAUCGUAGAUUGAGAAGAACACCUCACACUGCCCGUCCGGCGGGGGGAUCUCCCCGCCGAAGAAGUUCCCUCCGAGGUGGAGGUGGCGGAGGUUGGGCAUUUCAGCGACGGCGAGAGGCAAGUCACCGGUCAUAUUGUUGUUGUAGAUGUCGAGUACCUCGAGGUUCUUGAGCUGGGCUAGCUGCGAGGGGAAAGUAUCAUUAAACCCAUUGUUGGAGAGAUUGAGGUAGCGGAGGUCGGUGGCGGCGGAGAGCUGCGGCGGGAUGGGGCCAGAGAAUUUGUUGACGUCGAGGGAGAGGUUCUGGAGGUAGCGGAGGUGGGAGAUAUCCGGGGAGAGGGUUCCCGUGAGGGAGAGGCUAGAGAGGUCUAAUGAGGUCACGUGACGGCUGGAGAAGUCGCACGUGACUCCCGGCCAGGAGCAGAGGUCGGCGGAGGAGUUCCAGGCGGAAAGGAAGGAGUUUGGGUCGUCGGUGACGGCGGAUUUUAGGGAGAGUAGAGCUUGGGUUUCGGAUAAUACGCGGCCGGUGGAAGUUGGGAUGUGGAGGUGGAUGAGGAGGAAGAAGAAGAGGAGAGGGUAAAGGAGUCUCAUCGUAGAUUGAGAAGAACUAAUCGCCGCCGGAGACGGCGGAGGGAGGAGGAGGAGGAGGAGGAAGAGGAUGAUGAAGAAGGUAAGUGAGAAGAGUGAGG
rnacentral:lncRNA from 1 species